GUCUCUUUGUAUAUUUUAGAUAAGGAGUUGGGCCUGCUCGGUGAUUAAAUUUAACAGCUGCGGUAUUUUAACUGUACUAAGGUAGCAUAAUAGUUUGCCUUAUAAUUUGAGGCUGGAAUGAAUGGUUUGACGAAGGUUAAUCUGUCUCUAUCUUAUUUAAUAGAAAUUAAUUUUUAGAGUGAGAAAGCUUAAAUUUUUUAAAGGGACGAGAAGACCCUAUUGAGCUUAUAAUUUUAGUUUGUUAUGGUAAAUAGUAUCGGAUAAAUUUUAAUUGGGGUGAUUAAGGAAUAAAUAAAUGAGGUAGUAACUUCCUUGAAAAAUAAAUAUAUAGAUUUAUGAUUUAACCAAUUAAUAUAUUGCUUAAAAUAUAGUUACCAUAGGGAUAACAGCGUAAUUUAUUUAGAGAGUUCUUAUUGAAAAAUGAGAUUGCGACCUCGAUGUUGGAUUAAAGUAACCUUAAGGUGUAGAAGCUUUGAUAGGUAAAUCUGUUCGAUUUUUAAAACUUU
rnacentral:rRNA from 1 species